rnacentral:rRNA from 1 species
AGAGUUUGAUCAUGGCUCAGAUUGAACGCUGGCGGCAGGCCUAACACAUGCAAGUCGAGCGGUAGCACAGAGAGCUUGCUCUCGGGUGACGAGCGGCGGACGGGUGAGUAAUGUCUGGGAAACUGCCUGAUGGAGGGGGAUAACUACUGGAAACGGUAGCUAAUACCGCAUAAUGUCGCAAGACCAAAGUGGGGGACCUUCGGGCCUCAUGCCAUCAGAUGUGCCCAGAUGGGAUUAGCUAGUAGGUGGGGUAAUGGCUCACCUAGGCGACGAUCCCUAGCUGGUCUGAGAGGAUGACCAGCCACACUGGAACUGAGACACGGUCCAGACUCCUACGGGAGGCAGCAGUGGGGAAUAUUGCACAAUGGGCGCAAGCCUGAUGCAGCCAUGCCGCGUGUGUGAAGAAGGCCUUCGGGUUGUAAAGCACUUUCAGCGGGGAGGAAGGCGGUGAGGUUAAUAACCUCAUCGAUUGACGUUACCCGCAGAAGAAGCACCGGCUAACUCCGUGCCAGCAGCCGCGGUAAUACGGAGGGUGCAAGCGUUAAUCGGAAUUACUGGGCGUAAAGCGCACGCAGGCGGUCUGUCAAGUCGGAUGUGAAAUCCCCGGGCUCAACCUGGGAACUGCAUUCGAAACUGGCAGGCUAGAGUCUUGUAGAGGGGGGUAGAAUUCCAGGUGUAGCGGUGAAAUGCGUAGAGAUCUGGAGGAAUACCGGUGGCGAAGGCGGCCCCCUGGACAAAGACUGACGCUCAGGUGCGAAAGCGUGGGGAGCAAACAGGAUUAGAUACCCUGGUAGUCCACGCCGUAAACGAUGUCGAUUUGGAGGUUGUGCCCUUGAGGCGUGGCUUCCGGAGCUAACGCGUUAAAUCGACCGCCUGGGGAGUACGGCCGCAAGGUUAAAACUCAAAUGAAUUGACGGGGGCCCGCACAAGCGGUGGAGCAUGUGGUUUAAUUCGAUGCAACGCGAAGAACCUUACCUGGUCUUGACAUCCACAGAACUUUCCAGAGAUGGAUUGGUGCCUUCGGGAACUGUGAGACAGGUGCUGCAUGGCUGUCGUCAGCUCGUGUUGUGAAAUGUUGGGUUAAGUCCCGCAACGAGCGCAACCCUUAUCCUUUGUUGCCAGCGGUUAGGCCGGGAACUCAAAGGAGACUGCCAGUGAUAAACUGGAGGAAGGUGGGGAUGACGUCAAGUCAUCAUGGCCCUUACGACCAGGGCUACACACGUGCUACAAUGGCAUAUACAAAGAGAAGCGACCUCGCGAGAGCAAGCGGACCUCAUAAAGUAUGUCGUAGUCCGGAUUGGAGUCUGCAACUCGACUCCAUGAAGUCGGAAUCGCUAGUAAUCGUAGAUCAGAAUGCUACGGUGAAUACGUUCCCGGGCCUUGUACACACCGCCCGUCACACCAUGGGAGUGGGUUGCAAAAGAAGUAGGUAGCUUAACCUUCGGGAGGGCGCUUACCACUUUGUGAUUCAUGACUGGGGUGAAGUCGUAACAAGGUAACCGUAGGGGAACCUGCGGUUG